UACGUAGGGGGCAAGCGUUGUCCGGAAUCAUUGGGCGUAAAGAGCGCGUAGGCGGCCAGAUAAGUCCGGUGUGAAAGUCAAAGGCUCAACCUUUGAAUGCCGCUGGAAACUGUCUGGCUAGAGUCCGGAAGGGGCGAGUGGAAUUCCUGGUGUAGCGGUGGAAUGCGCAGAUAUCAGGAAGAACACCAACGGCGAAGGCAGCUCGCUGGGACGGAACUGACGCUAAGGCGCGAAAGCGUGGGGAGCGAACAGG
rnacentral:rRNA from 1 species